rnacentral:rRNA from 1 species
UACGUAGGGUGCGAGCGUUGUCCGGAAUUACUGGGCGUAAAGAGCUCGUAGGCGGUCUGUCGCGUCUGCUGUGAAAUCCCAGGGCUUAACCCUGGGCCUGCAGUGGGUACGGGCAGACUAGAGUGCGGUAGGGGAGAUCGGAAUUCCUGGUGUAGCGGUGAAAUGCGCAGAUAUCAGGAGGAACACCGGUGGCGAAGGCGGAUCUCUGGGCCGUAACUGACGCUGAGGAGCGAAAGCAUGGGUAGCGAACAGG